UACGGGGGGAGCAAGCGUUGCUCGGAAUCACUGGGCGUAAAGGGCGCGUAGGCGGGAUGGCAAGUCAGUCGUGAAAUCUCUCGGCUCAACCGAGAAACGUCGGCUGAUACUGCCGUUCUUGAGGGAUGCAGAGGAGACUGGAAUUCCCGGUGUAGCGGUGAAAUGCGCAGAUAUCAGGAGGAACACCGAUGGCGAAGGCAGGUCUCUGGGCAUUAACUGACGCUGAGGAGCGAAAGCAUGGGGGAGCGAACAGG
rnacentral:rRNA from 1 species